CAUGGGCUCGGCGGCGCGCGCAGCAGUGGAGGCACGGGUAGCGGCAGCGGCGGCGUGCGCUGCGGCCGCGGCAGCGGCGUGGGCUCAGCAGUGCGAGUAGCGGCUGUGGCGGCGUGAGCCGCGAGGCCGCAACUUCUCUUCCCCGCGCCGUCUCCGUCGUAGCGUUAUCACUCCUCGUGGAUGAAGCGAUGUAGGCAUGGAUGGCGUCCGCGAAGGAUGCGACUGGAUCUGCAAUGGAGAACCUGGUGGUUGCACAGAUUAUACAAGAAAAACUAGAUGGAGGUGGCCUCCCUAUUAUUGUUGGCGGCACAAAUUUCUACAUCCAGGCUGCCAGGCAUUCCAGCCCUUCUCCAUUUAAUAGGCCAAGGGUUAAAGCAUAGAGAAGAGGAUGAUAUGGAGAACUGUCCGUAUGUCAUCUGGAAAAAGAGGGGAGAUGAAAGAAUAUGAUGCAUAGCAGCGGAGAUGUGCAAGUUUCAUGGGCCAAAUAAUGUUCUGUCGACCAGAAAUGCAGAGCUCUAGCCGAAAUGCGGAGUGCUUUGUCGGUUAAUCUGCUGGUGUACGGCUUCUGAGGAGGUGAAGAUGUUGCAUCAGAGAUGCUUGCUGACAAGGUGCACACAAGUCUUUUUUUGCAAGUACUGAUACUAGGAUCUGUGUGGAAUGCAUGAACUUAGUAGUCACAUAGAUUUGAUUGUCAUUUAAAAACAUCCAUUUGUAGCCUGUAAAAUAGAUUUGUGCUUUGUAGCCUGUAAAAUAGAUUUGUGCUUUGAACGGCCAUUUGCUUCUUUUGUAUUGCACAUCAACAUCAUACAGAGAAGGCUGAGAGGUGAUUGUAUGGACUCUUUUGUUUAAUCUCGAUGUAUGAGCUCAUAUGGUUGAAUUCUGCUGCUAUAAUUAUAUAUUAUAUAUGUUGUACAAAUGAUGCAAUAUUAUUAUA